rnacentral:tRNA from 1 species
CAAGGAAUAGUUUAAAUAGAAUGUCAGCUUUGGGUGUUGAUGGUGGGGGUUGUCUCCUUCCUUGA